AGUCGAGGGGCAGCAUGGUCUUAGCUUGCUAAGGCCGAUGGCGACCGGCGCACGGGUGAGUAACGCGUAUCCAACCUGCCUUACACUCUUGGACAGCCUUCUGAAAGGGAGAUUAAUACAAGAUGUUAUCAUGAGUAAGCAUUUUCGCAUGAUUAAAGGUUUACCGGUGUAAGAUGGGGAUGCGUUCCAUUAGAUAGUAGGCGGGGUAACGGCCCACCUAGUCUUCGAUGGAUAGGGGUUCUGAGAGGAAGGUCCCCCACAUUGGAACUGAGACACGGUCCAAACUCCUACGGGAGGCAGCAGUGAGGAAUAUUGGUCAAUGGACGAGAGUCUGAACCAGCCAAGUAGCGUGAAGGAUGAAGGUUCUAUGGAUUGUAAACUUCUUUUAUACGGGAAUAAACGGAUCCACGUGUGGAUUUUU
rnacentral:rRNA from 1 species